rnacentral:tRNA from 1 species
GUUUUAAUAAUUUAUAUAAAAUAUUAGUCUUGUAAACUAAAAAUAAGUUCCGCUUUUAAAACA